UGUGAAUAUUGGAACUUGGAGGAAGCUGAUUAGUUGAAUUUUGAAGGGGUGCCUUGGUUUUAAAUAAUUUGCUUUGGUCGUUACGUGGAAAUCGUCCAAGAUGCAGGUCGAGAGGCAUCUCAUUAGGCGUCUGGACUCUUGAGGCGGAGUGGUUACUGGGAUAUUUUGUUAUGCUAUGAUGUAUAUAUAUGUACUUAGCUUUCUCUCCGCAUGACUUAUUCUUUUUGAUCCUCUUAGAGGUUUAUGGAGAGGCAGGAUUUUGUUUAUGUACAUUUGGGUUUUGGAUAUGUAUAUAUAUGUAUAUAUGUGUGUAUAUUCUCCGGCCAGUCUUGACUUCGCAGGCUGAGUCAGGAGCUCGUUAUUUUGUAUCUUUGACUCUC